rnacentral:sRNA from 1 species
UCUGGGUGUGGUGGUGCACACCUAUAAUCCCAACCUCAGGAGGCUGAGGCAGGAGGAUUGCCAGCCUCAGUAACUUAGUGAACUCCUGUUUCAA